GGGUCGUUAGCUCAGUUGGUAGAGCAGUUGACUUUUAAUCAAUUGGUCGCAGGUUCGAAUCCUGCACGACCCACUA
rnacentral:tRNA from 19 species